GACGAAGGGGGCUAGCGUUGUUCGGAAUUACUGGGCGUAAAGCGAGUGUAGGUGGUUGUCCAAGUUGGAUGUGAAAGCCUUGAGCUCAACUCAAGAAAUGCAUUCAGGACUGGGCGGCUAGAGGACCGGAGAGGAUAGUGGAAUUCCCAGUGUAGUGGUGAAAUGCGUAGAUAUCGGGAGGAACACCAGUGGCGAAAGCGGCUCACUGGACCACAACUGACGCUGAGGCGCGAAAGCGUGGGGAGCAAACAGG
rnacentral:rRNA from 1 species